UACGUAGGUGGCAAGCGUUAUCCGGAAUUACUGGGCGUAAAGCGCACGCAGGCGGUUGGUCAAGUUCGACGUGAAAGCUCCCGGCUCAACUAGGAGAGGUCGUUGAAGACUGGUCAACUUGAGGUUAUGAGAAAGGUGUAGAAUUCCCGGUGUAGUGGUGGAAUGCGUAGAUAUCGGAGGAAAUACCAGUGGCGAAAGCGGCACCCUAACAUGAACCUGACGCUCAGAUACGAAAGCGUGGAAAGCAAACAGG
rnacentral:rRNA from 1 species